ensembl:lncRNA
UCUCUGCCUCUGGAGUGAGUUUCCUCCCCUUGGCUAAUUCUGUGAAAUUCAAGCAAGGCCCCCCCACCUUGUACAUGUACAGGGGGCUCCCCUAUACAACCUGUCUGUACAGGGACCAUCCUAGGGUCUCUGCCUCCACUCAUUACAAAGCUUACAUUCCCAAGCACAUUAUAGCCUCACUCUUGGGAUGCCUCACGAGAUUUUACCUUUGAGGUUCUCGGAAUUCUCAAGAUACCUCCCCAGGUGGGACCCCCCUCUCAAGGGGUGUACUCCCACACCGAUCACGAUCACCCAACCUAUACCUGUGGAUUCACCCUUGGGGGAGCACCCUCACUCCAUCACCGUGUGAAGGUUUUGUCCAAAGUCUCCCACAGAUCCUCUCAUGGAAUCAACAUGGAAAAAACUGUCACGAGAACAUGAGUUCUUUCUCCAGGCAUGAAAAUGAAAGAGCUACCUGGAUAUCAUCUGAGGACUAAAAGCACAGAACUUCCAGAUGAUUUCACGGCAGAAGACCGUACUGGGGUCCCCUGACCACAGUUUGUUCCACGUUUCUAAUGAGACAAAAAUAUUGUAUUCAUCUUUGAAUAAUGGUCACAUAGAAUAUUGCAAAUACCAAUCAGAUGUUCAACUCUUCCAGAGUUUCUAGAGGAAUCAGAAUUCCCUCACAGAUGCCAUCUACAUCCUGCCUACAGUGUGGCCAAAAGCCAUUUUGGAUUUCAAAGGUUUUCCCACCAAACUUCCACCUUCACAACAUGAUCACUACAUAAUGAGGUGGAAAAACCCAUUUUACCCAGUGCAUUCUAGAGAAUGAAGUGAAAAACCCCGCAGGUUUUUGGGGUGAAUCAGAAGAGAGAAUAAACUGAAAGCUGCCAUCUCAAAGUGAAAACCUCAGAUUUGCUGCCAUCAAAAACUCGGAGAAAGAUAAAAGGUGGAUUUGUCUUCAUGGCAUUUCACCUUCUUUAGCAACUGGUUCCUUUUCUGAGACAUUUGCACCUUUCUUGAAAACUUUGCCCUGCACUUACUUACCAUAAGUAAAUAGACUCAGUUAAAAUCAUGGAGAGAAAGUGGAGUAGAGCAGGGUAAGAGCCAAAAUGAAGGCUACAUUGGGAUUCCUUCCAAAGGGUGUCCAAAAGCUACUUACAUCUUUAUUGACUCUCCCAGAAAUUUUCUACUCUGGACUUCAAAUAUUUUGUUAUAGAAAUAACUUAUUCUAGAAAUCUAACAGGGCAGAACAAGCUAUCACUAAGUCUGUGAAUACCACUGCUGCAUAUGAGCUUUAUCUCACUUUUAUUCUUAGAUCACCACUGUUGUAGUAAUCCUAUUAGCAUCCUUUGCAAGCUGACAGCUCUGUCAGUGCCUAUGUACACAUUUUGGUAUUUCUCUGACCAAAAAUAUCUGAAAUCUCCUCAGACAUCAUUAUAAUCGAUGUUCAUUUUAGAGGACAGGAUGUUUUGUCAAUAACUUUGUGGUACAUUCUUGCCAGCGUUGAAAUCCAACUCUGCCAAGUAAAAUCUGUCAUUUAAAGGGCUACAUGAUGCUUCGCAGGAGGGGCUUGGCAAGGUUUGCCUUUUGUUCUACAGACAAAUUCCAAAGCUCCUGAAAUUUAUUAAGAUUCACAACUGAUACGCUGACCACUUAAAGGGGGCAUCAGAGAAGGUGCAAAGAUCAGAUUUAAAACCUAUUUAAAUAAAGUUCACUGAUGUUAGGUCAAGGAUUUGGAUUUUGCACAGUGUGUUCAGAAUAUAUUCAGAGUAGUUCUGCAAAUUCCAACUGACGAAACAGUAAGUGUCUAAAGAACGGUACUGAAAUAAGUCAAAAGCUGGAAGUAUACUAGCAUAUACCAAUGCUUUAUCAGUGACAUAGACGAUGGCAUUGAGUGCACCCUCAGCAAGUUUGCAGAUGACACCAAGCUGAGCGGUGCAGUCGAUACGUUGGAAAGAAGGGAAGCCAUCCAGAGGGACCUGGACAGGCUGGAGAAGUGGACCCAUGAAAACCAAAUGAGAUUCAAUAAGGCCAAGUGCAGGGUGCUGCACUUGGGUUGGGGCAAUCCCAAGUAUUUAUACAAACUGGGGGAAGAUCUCCUUGAGAGCAGCCCUGUGGAGAAGGACUUGGGGGUCCUGGGAGAUGAGAAGCUGGACAUGAGCCAGCAGUGUGCGCUUGCAGUCUGGAAGGCCAACUGUGUUCUGGGCUGCAUUAAAAAAGGGGUGGCCAGCAGGGAGAGGGAGGUGAUUGUCCCCCUCUACUCAGCUCGUGAGGCCCCAUCUGGAGUACUGCAUCCAGGCCUGGGGCCCCCAGUACAGGAAGGAUGUGGAGCUCUUGGAGCAGGUCCAGAGGAGGGCCAUUAAGAUGAUCAGAGGGCUGGAGCACCUCUCCUAUAAGGAAAGGUUGAGGGAACUGGGCUUAUUUAGUUUGGAGAAGAGAAGGCUCUGGGAAGACCUCACUGUGGCCUUCCAGUAUUUGAAAGGAGCAUAUAAACAGGAGCAAGAAUGGCUGUUUGCAAGGGUGGAUAGUGAUAGGACAAGGGGGAAUGGUUUUAAACUGAGACAGGGGAGGUUUAGGUUGGAUAUUAGGAAGAAGUUUUUCACCCAGAGGGUGGUGACACACUGGAACAGGUUGCCCAAGGAGCUUGUAGAUGCCCCAUCCCUGAAGGCAUUCAAGGCCGGGCUGGAUGUGGCUCUGGGCAGCCUGGUCUAGUGGUGGGUGACCCUGCACAUAGCAGGGAGGUUGAAACUCAAUGAUCAUUAUGGUCCUUUUCAACCCAGGCCAUUCUAUGAUAUAUAUGACAAAGGUAAAAUUGCUCUGUGAUGAUUUUGAAGACAGACACAGCAUCAACAAGCAGGACAACAGAUUAAGAAGGAGACAGAAUUGAAGAUAGACUUCCUUCACAUUUUAUUUUUUUCUCCCUCAUUUAUCAAGACAGGAUGUCCAGAUUUUAGAGAAAGGAGAGCAGCAAGUGGCUCUGCAGGGACAAAUGGGACAGACAGAUACCUCUGGCAACUGGCCCAAAGCAGAGGUUGGACCCCGUCUUUCUCCCUCCCAUCCAUUUCGUUUUGAAAGCUGCAAGAUUCUAGGGCUGCUUCCUGGUAGGCAGACAUACAGAAAAUGCUGUGUCUUCUAUGGAAAGGCAUCUGCUGCUAAAAUCAUGGACAAGACAAUAGUUCAGGGGCCCACAUUACAUCCAGACAUCACAGCCUCAAUAAGUGUCCUGAUGCUUCAGGAUGCAUACCUACUUCUUCAGGUUCAGAUUAUUCAGAUUGGAUAUUAGGAAAAACUUCUUCUCACAAAGAGUGGUAGUGCACUGGCGCAGGCUGCCCAGGGAGGUGAUGGAGUCACCAUCCCUGAGGUGUUCAAGAGCUGUGUAGAUGUGGCACUGAGGGAUAUGAUUAGUGGACAUGGUGGGGAUCGGUCACUGGUUGGACUGGGUGAUCUUAGAGGUUUUUUCUGACCUUGAUAAUUCUAUGAGUCUUCAUUUGGCACAUUUAACCCUGUACUCUUUUA